GUGCAUAAGAGAACUGUGCAAAGUGAGAACUGCCUGUAUUUCUCAUAUUUAGGGUGGACUUUCUCUUAGGCAGUGAUUUUAGAUCAAUCUCAGAACUACUGUUAGCUCCCCUCCUCUCAUGAUUUUUCAUAAAUCACCCUUGCUCUCUGCAAAGGUGUGUAGAGUUGCAAUAGACGGCUUGCUGGGAUUUGAUGUUUCUUUUUCUGUAGACAGUCCUAUGACAAUGGACUGGCACAGGGAGCUGGACUUGAAUCUCAUGGAGGAUCAACUUUUUGUGGCAUUGCCUCACUAUGUCUGAUGGGUAAACUAGAAGAAGUUUUUUCAGAAAAAGAAUUGAACAGGAUAAAGAGGUGGUGUAUAAUGAGGCAACAAAAUGGUUAUCAUGGAAGACCUAAUAAGCCUGUAGACACCUGUUAUUCUUUUUGGGUGGGAGCAACUCUGAAGCUUCUAAAAAUUUUCCAAUACACUAACUUUGAGAAAAAUAGAAAUUACAUCUUAUCAACUCAAGAUCGCCUUGUAGGGGGAUUUGCCAAGUGGCCAGACAGUCAUCCAG
rnacentral:lncRNA from 10 species